GAUGAACGCUGGCUAUAGGCUUAACACAUGCAAGUCGAGGGGAAACGGCAAAGAGUGCUUGCACACUUUGGACGUCCACCGGCGCAGGGGUGAGUAACGCGUAUCCCACCUGCCCUUUACUUGGGGAUACCCCGUUGAAAGACGGCCUAAUACCCGAUGUGUUUCAUUGACGGCCUCCGAUAUAAAACAAAGGUUUUCCGGUAAGGGAUGGGGAUGCGUCUGAUUAGCUUGUUGGCGGGGCAACGGCCCACCAAGGCGACGAUCAGUAGGGGUUCUGAAAGGAAGGUCCCCCACAUUGGAACUGAGACACGGUCCAAACCCCUACUGGAGGCAGCUGUUAGGAAUAUGGGUCAAUGGACGCUAGUCGGAACCAUCCAAGUACCGUGCAGGAGUGGGGCCCUUUUGGUGUAAAACUGCUUUAAUUGGGGAAAAAUUGUGGCGUGGGGGCGCCUUGGUUGUUCCGUUGAAUAUGGACAGGCUAUUCCUGGCCUGCGUCUGCUGAAUUCGGAAGGUCGGUGUGUUUUUGUUUUUUUUGGUUUAAAGGGUGUUUUGGUGUUGAUUGUGUUGGUUUGUAUUGUUUGUGUUGCAUUUUUUGCGCUGUGUGUGGUGUUGUGUGUGGUGUAUGUUGGGAUAUGUGGAUGAUGUGUGUGAUUGUGGAUGUUCUGUUGGUGUGUGAUGUUGUGUUGUUGUGUUUGUUGCUGUUUGAUGUGUGUGUUGUGUGUUUUGUGU
rnacentral:rRNA from 1 species